GAUUACAGGAGGUAGAGCACUGAAUAGUCUAGGGGAAGUAAUUCUACCGAAACUUAUCAAACUCCGAAUGCCUGAAAAUCGAUGAACAGGAGUCAGACCAUGAGGGAUAAGCUUCAUAGUCAAAAGGGAAACAGCCCAGACCACCAGUUAAGGUCCCAAAAUACAGAUUAAGUGGGAAAGGAUGUAAUACUACUCAGACAACCAGGAUGUUGGCUCAGAAGCAGCCAUACAUUUAAAGAGUGCGUAAUAGCUCACUGGUCAAGUGGUAAUGCGCCGAAGAUGAACGGGGCUAAAUCUGAUACCGAAACUGUGGGAUAGAAAAGCAAUUAUGCGAGAAGUAUGAAGUAAAAGUGAUUAGGAAAUAUAUCAACUAGUAAAGUAAGAGAUAAAGACAUAAAUUAAAACUAUUAAACGAUACAAUUUCUAAAACACUUAACAACAUACAACUGGCAUAAUAGCUUUUCUAUCGGUAGAGGAGCGUUGUAUAUGAAUUGAAGCAAAAAGCGCAAGCAAUUGUGGAUUAUAUACAAGUGAGAAUGCUGGCAUGAGUAGCGAAAAGGGAUGUGAGAAUCAUCCCCGUCGAAAGCCCAAGGAUUCCUGAGCAAGGCUCGUCCUCUCAGGGUAAGUCGGGACCUAAGGCGAGGCCGAAAGGCGUAGUCGAUGGACAACAGGUAGAAAUUCCUGUACUACAAGAUUGUGAUUGAGAGAAGUACUGACGCAGAAGGAAAAGUCGAGCGUGUGAAUGGUAGAACACGUCCAAGUAACAAGCCAGAAUAUACAGGCAAAUCCGUAUAUUCGUUAACGUAAGUUAUCAUGGGGAGCAGAAAGAUGCGAAGCGACAGAUUCAAACUGCCAAGAAAAGGUGCUAUCGAAUAAUCUUGUACCCGUACCGCAAACCGACACAGGUAGGCAAGAAGAGAAUUCUAAGACGCGCGGAAGAACCUUUGUUAAGGAACUCGGCAAAAUAAUCCCGUAAGUUAGCGAGAAGGGAUGCCUAAGAAAUUAGGUCGCAGAGAAUAGGCCCAAGCGACUGUUUACCAAAAACACAAGUAUCUGCUAAAUCGAAAGAUGAAGUAUAGGUGCUGACACCUGCCCGGUGCUGGAAGGUCAAGGGGACUUGUUAGAGCAA
rnacentral:rRNA from 1 species